rnacentral:rRNA from 1 species
GACGAACGCUGGCGGCGUGCCUAAUACAUGCAAGUAGAACGCUGAAGGAGGAGCUUGCUUCCCCGGACGAGUUGCGAACGGGUGAGUAACGCGUAGGUAACAUGCCUGGAUGCGGCGGAUAACUAUUGGAAACGAUAGCUAAUAUCGCAUAAUAGUUGUUGAUCCAUGUGAUUCGCUUAUAAGGUGCAAUUGUAUCACUACUAGAUGGACCUUCGUCGUAUUAGUUAGUUGGUGGGGUAACGGCUCACCAAGGCGACGAUACAUAGUCGCCCUGGGAGGGGGCUCGGCCACACUGGGACUGGGACACCGCCCAGGCUUCUACGGGGGGGAACAGUAGGGAAUCUUCGGCAAUGGGCGGAAGUCUUGACGGGCAACGCCGCGGGGGGGAAGAAGGGUUUCGGGUCGUAAAGCUCUGUUGUAAGGGAAGAACGAGUGUUGGAGUUGAAAGUUCACACUGUGACGGUAUCUUACCAGAAAGCGACGGCUAACUACGUG